rnacentral:rRNA from 1 species
AUGGACAAGUCUGCAGGGGUUUGCCAGUCGGACUUCCAUGAUUGCAAAUUGUCGUUCCUGCAAAUUAUAUGUGAUCAUGAUCUUUUUGUUGAGAUGACUGGUAUGUAUCCUGCUGUAAAUUCAUGUACUACCAACCUAGGGAACUAUAAAUAUUCCAGUUUGCCAAAUUAUUUUAAUAGACCAGCAAUAUUGUUCAGAGACUUUGGUCGUCCUCCACAGCGGGAUGCGACCUCCCUGGAGCAGCGGGUCAGGCGCAUCAUCGGAGGGGGAGAAGAUCUUGUUAUCUACAACAACGUUGAGUGA